GGGUGCGAUCAUACCAGCACUAAUGUACCGGAUCCCAUCAGAAUUCCGAAGUUAAACGUGCUUGGGCGAGAGUAGUACUAAGAUGGGUUACCUCUUGGGAAGUCCUCGUGUUGCACCCC
rfam:Ricinus communis cultivar Hale ctg_1100012282438, whole genome shotgun sequence.